rnacentral:rRNA from 1 species
UUACCAUGCAGUCGAACGGCAGCACGGGAGCAAUCCUGGUGGCGAGUGGCGAACGGGUGAGUAAUACAUCGGAACGUGUCCUGGAGUGGGGGAUAGCCCGGCGAAAGCCGGAUUAAUACCGCAUACGCUCUGAGGAGGAAAGGGGGGGAUCUUAGGACCUCUCGCUCAAGGGGCGGCCGAUGGCAGAUUAGCUAGUUGGUGGGGUAAAGGCCUACCAAGGCGACGAUCUGUAGCUGGUCUGAGAGGACGACCAGCCACACUGGGACUGAGACACGGCCCAGACUCCUACGGGAGGCAGCAGUGGGGAAUUUUGGACAAUGGGCGCAAGCCUGAUCCAGCAAUGCCGCGUGUGUGAAGAAGGCCUUCGGGUUGUAAAGCACUUUUGUCCGGAAAGAAAACACGCCUGUUAAUACCGGGUGUGGAUGACGGUACCGGAAGAAUAAGCACCGGCUAACUACGUGCCAGCAGCCGCGGUAAUACGUAGGGUGCAAGCGUUAAUCGGAAUUACUGGGCGUAAAGCGUGCGCAGGCGGUUCGUUAAGACAGAUGUGAAAUCCCCGGGCUUAACCUGGGAACUGCAUUUGUGACUGGCGGACUCGAGUAUGGCAGAGGGGGGUAGAAUUCCACGUGUAGCAGUGAAAUGCGUAGAGAUGUGGAGGAAUACCGAUGGCGAAGGCAGCCCCCUGGGCCAAUACUGACGCUCAUGCACGAAAGCGUGGGGAGCAAACAGGAUUAGAUACCCUGGUAGUCCACGCCCUAAACGAUGUCAACUGGUUGUCGGGUCUUCAUUGACUUGGUAACGAAGCUAACGCGUGAAGUUGACCGCCUGGGGAGUACGGUCGCAAGAUUAAAU